UAUCAGUCAUGCAUAGCAUAUCAAUAAGCGGAGGAAAAGGGAAUCGGUCGCCCCACUACCUACGCUUAGGAUGUUGACGAGGCUGUCGAUCUCAUCUAUACAUGACUCUGUGCAUAUCAAUAAGCGGAGGAAAAGAAACUAACAAGGAUUCCCUUAGUAACGGCGAGUGAAGCGGGAAGAGCUCAAAUUUGAAAUCUUCAAGGUUUUACCUUGACGAAUUGUAGUUUAAAGAAGUGUUUUCUGUUGAAGUUUUGGUAAAAGUUCUUUGGAAUAGGACAUCAUAGAAGGGUGAGAAUCCCGUAUUUGACCAUUAUUUUCAGCUGUGUGAUACACUUUCAAAGAGUCGGAUUGUUUGGGAAUGCAGUCCAAAAUGGGUGGUAAAUUUCAUCUAAAGCUAAAUAUUGGCGAGAGACCGAUAGCGAACAAGUACCGUGAGGGAAAGAUGAAAGAACUUUGAAAAGAGAGUUAAACAGUACGUGAAAUUGUCAAAAGGGAAGCGUUUGACACCAGUGUUGUUUUCUCGAAAAUCAAUUAAAAAGAGUUAGAUUUUGUUGUGUAUUGACCUUAACAGCUUGCAUUUCAAUUUUCUUGCUUUUUUUAAUGCACUUUUCGUUUAACAAGUCAACAUCAGUUUCUUUUGUUGUAAAAAGGUCAUUGGAAGGUGGCUUUCUUUUCGGAGAAAGUGUUUAUAGCCUUUGACUCCUGCAAUCGGAGAGACUGAGGUCUGCAGCGUAGAUCCUUCGGGGUUAGAUACAUUUGUGCUAAGUUAUAGCUUUUUAUAGACAACUUGUUGACUAUGAUUAGUCUUGUAGCUUACUCGCUUAUGCUAUUUUACCUACGCUUAGGAUGUUGAAGAUGUAGCACAUCAU
rnacentral:rRNA from 1 species